rnacentral:lncRNA from 1 species
AUUGAAACUAAUGUAAAAAAUUGAAGCACAGGAUAGGAUAGUGGAAGCACAAAUUUUAUAAUGACAAGUUGUUGUUUGCAUUUGUGGUAGAUUGGUAGUACAGACAACAUUGUGUAACAUAUCAACGUCGGAGCUACGUUAAAUCAAUACAUAGCUAAAAGAUGACGUCAUUUUUGCAUCUCGGAGACUUGCACGAUUCUACAUUCUGCGAUGUUAACAAGUACUAUAUCGUGGAAAACGAGGCAUAGUUUGGCAUCUCGUCAUAUACAGUCAUCAAAGGCUGUUUCACAGGUUUUAUAAGAAGAUAUGGGAAGUUGGAGGAGCUGUCGAUUCGUCAUUACACAAAGGCGUCGAACUUAACAGAGACUCCCCAACUUUCAGUUAUGCCUAUUAUAACGCUACCAGAGUCGUCGUUGCCAUGACUACCAAGAAGAAAAAAGACGCUUAUUACAAAAUAUUGUGCACAAUCCGCACUUCUCCGCGCAACAGUCAUCGUUUUUCCUCCUCGUAAUUAUCCUAGCAGGUUGAGAAUAGAAGCAGACGAGAAGAUAAACACUAGACUUGAUGGUAGCAAGCAAAGAAGUUACGCACAAUAGGAGAACAAACAAGCAACCCCAAAACCCUGGGCGUACAUACAGACGAUCUUCACGAAACAAAAUAGCAAAAAGGAUUUCUACAUGACUUUUGCAUCUUGAGAAGAACAAGCACGAGGGGAUUCUGAUGGGACCAUAAUAAUAGCUGGCAGCCUUCAAGAUGUGAGGGAGGCCAUUCACUCUCGUCCCUCUGUUUGGAGUUAAGCUCGUCAAGUAAAGAUUAAGCUGCCGUACUAGUUACACCUAUCACGGAUGGCAAUUGCAUGUGCCUCUUGACGAUACUCUACCCCUGCAAUUCCCAAUCAAGGACCACGAGCUUCAUUGUACUAAUUAGAUUCCAAGAGAGGGGUUGGAAACUUGAUGAUCGCUAUAUAGCCUCUUGCAGGCUGAUUAUAAUCGCUGUUCCAGCCUACUUUAUUUGCAGUCGAACACGGUCGAUAUAUAGGGAGAAGCAGAAACACUGGAUUGGAAUGAAAGAAGAGGGGAAUUUACUUGUCAGCUCAAUAUGUUCUAUUGUCAGAACUCUACCACACCGACUGGGUCUUACAAGCCUUAACGCACAUAAUAAUAGACAAUCGGCUGUGUACGCCUAACGCUGCGCCUUAUGUUCUUCGUGAUUAGCUGGUGCUCUUCGUCAAAUAUUUGAAGUGGGCCGUUUUAUGGCUCCGCCGUGAUGAUGUCCGAGGAAGCUAAAGGCGGAACUGCGAACAGACGGCCAUAAGGAAAUGACGGGAGCGCCUCACGCAUAGCAGAGAAAAUGUUGCUCGUAUAUUACACGAACGACCGAAACGGAUGGAGAAAAGGUGGGAACACGUUUUUUUUUUAUCGGUCCCAGUCACGCCAAUCGCCACCGGCUGAUAGUCACGCAACGCGUUGCAUAUCCGUUUAUAUUCUUCAACGCACCGAAAUUUGUAUAUUUUCUAGAUAAUUCGUCAAAACAAAAGAAUGUU